CAAUAGCGUAUAUUAAAGUUGUUGCAGUUAAAAGCUCGUAGUCGGAUUUCGGGUCGGGCCGAGCGGUCUGCCGAUGGGUAUGCACUGUUUGGCGCGGCCUUCUUUCCGGAGACCGCGGCUACUCUUAACUGAGCGGGCGUGGGAGACGGAUCGUUUACUUUGAAAAAUUAGAGUGCUCAAAGCAGACGAUUCGUCUGAAUAGCCGUGCAUGGAAUAAUGGAAUAGGACCUCGGUUCUAUUUUGUUGGUUUUCGGAAGUCGAGGUAAUGAUUAAGAGGGACAGACGGGGGCAUUCGUACUGGGCCGCCAGAGGUGAAAUUCUUUAACUGGCUCAUGACGAACCACUGCGAAAGCAUUUGCCAAGAAUGUUUUCAUUAAUCAAGAACGAAAGUCAGAGGGUCGAAGAUGAUUAGAUACCA
rnacentral:rRNA from 1 species